CCGCCCCGCCCCGCCCCGCCCGGCCGUUGGCCCUGAGGGGCCGCCAUGGCGGCGGGGGGCGGCCGGCUGUGGGGCGAAGCGCUGAGGGGGCUCUCGCUUCUCUUCGUCCUCCCCCCCCCCCCCAACCCUCUCCUCGCAGGGCAGAGGGAGCGGCGCCUUCCUCGCCCCGCGGAGCCGGGAAAAGCCCGGCUGCAAGGACAGGCAAGGCUGUGCGGGGGAGAACACGGGGCUCUGGAGGGCGCGGGCGGGGGGGGUCUUCGAAAAACGGGUUUGUGUUGUUCAGGGAAAAACAUGGCGAUAGAUUUAAAAUACGGCUGUUCCUGUGAGGAGGAAAAGAAAAAAAAAAAAAAAACAAAAAAAAAAAACAAAAAAACAACAAAAAACAAAACAAAAAAAAAAAAAGCACAACCCUGCCGCCUCCUUCUUACUUGACCCGUGUCCAAACGGCAGUUUAAAGAGAUCAUUUGCAUGGCGCGGUGCUACCGGCACGGCCUUCGACCUUUGGCGCGAUUUGGCAAAUCGGAUGGUUCUAAUUGCAAAAGCCUUUGAAACACCUUCCCACUGACCUCACGCUGCCCGCUAGAAACCGGAGUACAUGAAAACAAACACCUGAAGAGAAAAAUGCAAGCUGAGUUUCCAUAGGAGCUUAAGAAGGUCACUGUCAGGUUUAUCCCAGAUAUUAAUGAGGUAAGGAAGUUUCUGGUGUUUUGGUUGGUUGUUUUUUGGGGUUGUUUUUUGGGGGUUUGUUUGUUUGUUUGUUUUAAUUUCAAGAGCAUUAUCUCCUCUAACUUUUCUUUGUGAUUGACAUUACCUUAUAAGAAGCCCUUGAAAACGUGAUACUGGACCUUGUAGGUUUACAGACUGACGAUUUCAGUUUCCCAACUAGGGGCUGCACAAGGGCACUGAUAUUUCAGGCAACCAAGUUCUUUGGGUCCAGCCUAUGAAAACAGAUUCUUAAAAACUUGGACCUAUGUAUCUAGUGCUGUUAUUAGGUGGCAUCCUAAUCUGUCAGAGCUGCCAUCGAUAUUUAUCAUCUACUGCAAUGUCAUCUUUACUGUGUUCUGAACAAAGCCUGAUGUCAGGUCUCCCUUCUGCAUUCAGUAGGGGACAGCUAAGCAGUCCCAGUGCCCGCUGCACAAUGUGCCUUGACUGCAAAAUCCUUCGGCUUCUGGCCAGAAAAGCAGCAAGAACACCCCACAGAGCUCUCACUGUAUGGGUCUACUUGUAGAAGAAGGGGUUAGGUUGUUCCCUGGUUCCCGUUUGUCCUCCAUGAGACAAAGGAAAAACAAUGCUCUGUGGAAACCAGGUCUCCUGGCAGUGGGCAAAGAGCGGCAGUUGUCCUGAGCAGAAGUGAUCCAUACAGAAGUGUAUCCAAACUAGCACAGUGAUUUUUCAAGAAUGAAAACAGGAUGUUACCCUAUAAAACAGGUCACUUCAGUGCAGGAAUCAGAUGUUUUUUCCUGGGGGACAAGGUGGAUGGCAGGGACAAACAGCUGGAUGCACACGGAGUAAGGAUGCUGAGAACAACCAGAACUGAGUCUACCACCGAGACAAUAUUUAUGGAGAAUUGCACUUUUUACUGAUUAAGGUUUUCACAGGUCCUAACUCCACAUGCCUUGGAUCGCUGCUUCAGGAGACCCUCCUGAGCUGUUUGGCUGUCUGUCUUCACCUUCCAGGUCUGGGCUGGAAGUGCAGCGCUGGAGUGGAGGAUCCUUUCCGCACGCUGCUGCGUCCCUAAGCAGACUCCGGGCAGCUGAGAAGGAGGCCUGGCCGUUCCCCAAGGCAUCUCUGCAGGGGCUGAUAACCAGUACUCCAGCCACGCAGGAGACCUGGACCUUGGCUCUUCAUUUCAGGGGCACCAAGACCAGAAGACCAGCUGUUAGGGUCACCAUUGAUACCCUAUUCAAGGGGCAACAGAAACAUCCCUGAUGUUCAUCAGCAGUGCUUUUUGGUGGCACCAGAGCCUUGGACCACUGCCUGGGUUCCAGAUGUGUAUGGGCUUUUCUCUGCCUCUUCACAGAGAAAUUGGAUGUCUCUUUUGAAGACACAUUUUAAUCAAGUGGAAAUUACUGGAAUCACUACAGGGGGGAAAUAGUUCAAAAUCUGUGGCCUGUAUCAUGCAGGCUUUUUGGAUCCACAUUGAACAACCCAUGGAUACUUGGAGAGGGAGCCUGUUUCCUACUCCAACACUGGCUUCAGUUGAACUGCAGCUUGGUAAUGAAGGAGGAAAAAACAGCACUCACCAUCCUUUUAGCCCUUAUGCCUCCUAGGUAGGAAACUUACUCCUGGUCUGUAGGUCUUGCUGUGUUUUCAGGAUGAGGUCGUAUGCCCUGCGCUAAGCCAAACCAACUGCUCAGGGCUGUGCCAUGCCCCAUGGAGGAAAGUACUGCUUUCUGGCUAGAGAUGCAAACUACUCUGCUGAGAAGUGGCAUGCUGAUGUUGAGCUGAGCAGCCCUUUCAGCAUUACAAAGCCUUGCUGGGCAAAUAUACAUCAGUUGAGCGGCGUACAAAGCAGGGUAGACGGUCUGGGCAUUUCUGUACUUUGUGGGCUCUGGACUCACGGGCCAGCAGCCUGGAACUUCCCUGAGAGCCUCUGAGGCUCAGGUAGGCUGAUGGCACGUGGUCAUGAGACAGACCUGCUGGGAAAGGGGAGGGCUGCGCACUGGCUGGUGGUUGCUGACUGGAUCACACUCAUCCUGGAGGGAACAGUCCAGGAGAAAGACAUGCCGACACCAUCACACCUCCAGAUGAACAUCUCCCUACAGGUGGACCGGGCUACAUCUUCAUUUUGAGACUAAAAAGAUUUCCUGGCCUGAAGAAAUGAGGCGUUUCACUCCAUAUGGAUGUGCUGAUAUCGGCUGCUAGGGGUCAUUAAUACACACCUAUUAGCCAUUUUUAUUUUAAGAAUAUCAAGUAGUACUUGUAUCUACCAUCUGUAGGGUUUUUUUUUAUUUUAUUUUUUUAGUGGAUUAGGUUGAAAAAGGUUUCCUUUCGGGACUGCAGGCCCAAACCCAUCCUCACAAGUGUGAGGGUACCAACCCCUGGAGAUGUAUGUUUGACCCAGAAGCACAGAUCCCUGUAUUGCACCCAGUACCAGCAAGUACCGGUCUGAGGACAGGUGGGUGCAAGGUGCUGCAUCAUCUGGGAAGAAGCUGCUUGAAGGUCAGCUGCUGCACAGUGCCCUCUGCGUGCAGGCUUUCUGGUCUAUGGGGGGCACGCGUGGGGCUCGCAUCCCGACACAGCCAGCUCACGAUGACAAGAGAAAGCUGUGGGUUUAUCAGCAGCAGUGCUGCAGGGGUGACUUCUGUGACAAGACACCAGGAGCUGCCCCCAUGGUAGACAGAGCCAGUUCCAGCCAUCUGCAAGAAGGACCUGCUGGUGGCCAAAUCUGGGCCACAGUUCUCCAGGUGUGGCCUCACCACUGCUGAGCAGAGGGGAAGGAUCAUUACACGUUGCUACUGCCCCGAGCAAGGUGGUUUCACCAGAGACUGUAGGAAGUGGAGGUAUUCCUGUCCACUGUCCCAUCAGACUGGCCUGUGAGGGAGAUGCCUGGCAACUGGCAGGAAACAAGAA